rnacentral:lncRNA from 1 species
AUGAGUCACACUUUUCCUCUUUAAUUCUGCAGAGACUUGGCACCUCUGCGUGAUGAAAUCCAAAUACUGGCUGUGGUUACGGAACUGAGCAAAAUACAGAGCAGAUGAAGAGAUGCAGAGCUGUAGCUUGCGGGGCCUCAUUGUUCGGGAACACCGCGUAACAAAAAGAAAAGCCAUGCACUGAGGAGCUGCUGUGUCUGCAAGGGAUCUCUUCAAAACAGAAACCAAACAAAACUGAACAAACCCAACAAUUUACUCUGCAGCCAACUAUGGCCGCUGCCAAAGUCUUGUACCUGGCAGCAUUCGACAGGAUCUCCCUGUGCCCUCCUGCCACCAUGAGAAAAGAGCUUCAGCACACUUUGCUUUCCAGGCUUCGCAUUUACAGACUCUCCAGCUGGCUCCUAAAGGAGGUUCAUGAACUCUGCUGCACACAGCAAGUCGCUUCUUGCUUACACAUAGUUUUAAUUGUAGUA